CCGGCGCAGGGCGUGGGGCUCGGCCGCGGGCGGUGAGUCCCGGCCGGCUGAUCGCGAACCGGGAUCGCUUCGCCUACCGAACCUUCUGGUUUUCGAUUUGAAGGCUUAAAUAAUGGGAGAAAAAUCCCCUCUUUGCCAGGUAAAGGUCUUGACGUGGAUGGCUUUUGUUGUGCUUUCCGAUGCCCUGAAUUAGGCCUUGUGUUGUUUGCAUUUCCAUGAGACAGUCACCCUGGUUUGCUACUUGGAUGUCUUUUUUUUUCCUAGUUUACUUUGAGACCUAGAGUGGGAAGUGGGGGUGAGUGGGGAGAAGGUGGGGGCAUCUCCCAUCCACUGCUACAUUCCCAAAGUCAGUAACUGAGAACUCAACUUUAGUCUCCCCCAUACGUGGUUGGAACCCAGUUAUUUAAGCUAUCAUCUGCAGCCACCCAGGGUACACAUUGACAGGGAACUGGAAUUUGGGAGCAUAGCUGGGACUUGAGCCAGGCUCCCUGGUGUGGGAUGAAGAGGUUCCAGUGGUCUCAAGCAUGAGGCCAAGCGCCUGUACCCUAAGUGCCUUUGCUCUUGUGUCUCACAGAUUGGUCCUUGUCUUUCUUCAAUGUGCCUUGUCCCCCUGGGACGAUUAUUGGGUUUGAUAGCAUCAGAAAUGCCUUUUCUUGUUUUGUUUCCUACACAGCAGCAACCCAAAUAGGAAGAUGGACUCUGAGCUCUGCGUUGUGACCCAGGAAAGGGCACUGUUCCCUAAAGGUCAAGGUUGAUUAUGUCACUGUGGUCAACACAGGAAGAAAGAACGCUGGACGUCAUUAGGUAGAGAUCUGAAAUAUGAAAUACUUUCCUGUAUAGAGUUACAUUUUUCUGUUACCAUUAAGUGAACUGAGGUUACCUGGAAGGUUAUCCUGUCUCAGCAUCCUAACCUCUGGGGGCUCAAUGUCACUGUGCUCCUGCCUUCUGUUGCCUGCUGUCCUCCUGGCUCUCAUACCUUGUUCUCCCUGUACCUUUGAAGGUUCCCUCAGUCUUUACAUGAGACAUACUUUUCUACAUAUGCAGUGCUUAUCCAUACGACUUUCAACCA